CCUACGGGAGGCAGCAGUGGGGAAUAUUGGACAAUGGGCGAAAGCCUGAUCCAGCCAUGCCGCGUGUGUGAAGAAGGCCUUCGGGUUGUAAAGCACUUUCAGUGGGGAAGAAAGCCUUGGGGCUAAUACCCUCGAGGAAGGACAUCACCCACAGAAGAAGCACCGGCUAACUCCGUGCCAGCAGCCGCGGUAAUACGGAGGGGUGCGAGCGUUAAUCGGAAUUACUGGGCGUAAAGCGCGCGUAGGCGGUCUGAUAAGCCGGUUGUGAAAGCCCCGGGCUCAACCUGGGAACGGCAUCCGGAACUGUCAGGCUAGAGUGCAGGAGAGGAAGGUAGAAUUCCCGGUGUAGCGGUGAAAUGCGUAGAGAUCGGGAGGAAUACCAGUGGCGAAGGCGGCCUUCUGGACUGACACUGACGCUGAGGUGCGAAAGCGUGGGUAGCAAACAGGAUUAGAUACCCUGGUAGUC
rnacentral:rRNA from 1 species